UCGGGUCAUAUGCUACAUUCCCC
rnacentral:siRNA from 1 species